UCCUAAAGGUUGGCCUUAUGGGAUGG
rnacentral:piRNA from 1 species